rnacentral:rRNA from 1 species
UGGGGAAUCUUGCACAAUGGGCGAAAGCCUGAUGCAGCCAUGCCGCGUGAAUGAUGAAGGCCUUAGGGUUGUAAAAUUCUUUCACCAGGGAUGAUAAUGACAGUACCUGGAGAAGAAGCCCCGGCUAACUUCGUGCCAGCAGCCGCGGUAAUACGAAGGGGGCUAGCGUUGUUCGGAAUUACUGGGCGUAAAGCGCGCGUAGGCGGGUUUUUAAGCCAGGGGUGAAAUCCCGGAGCUCAACUCCGGAACUGCCUUUGGAACUGGAAACCUCGAGGCCAGGAGAGGUCAGUGGAAUACCGAGUGGAGAGGUGAAAUUCGCAGAUAUUCGGUGGAACACCAGUGGCGAAGGCGACUGACUGGACUGGUACUGACGCUGAGGCGCGAAAGUGUGGGGAGCAAACAGGAUUAGAUACCCCCGUAGUCC